UACGUAGGUGGCAAGCGUUGUCCGGAUUUAUUGGGCGUAAAGCGCGCGCAGGCGGUUCUUUAAGUCUGAUGUGAAAGCCCACGGCUCAACCGUGGAGGGUCAUUGGAAACUGGGGAACUUGAGUACAGAAGAGGAAAGCGGAAUUCCACGUGUAGCGGUGAAAUGCGUAGAGAUGUGGAGGAACACCAGUGGCGAAGGCGGCUUUCUGGUCUGUAACUGACGCUGAGGCGCGAAAGCGUGGGGAGCAAACAGG
rnacentral:rRNA from 1 species